UACGGGGGGGGUAAACGUUGUUCGGAAUCACUGGGCAUAAAGAGCUCGUAGGCGGUUCGAUAAGUCGGACGUGAAAUCUCCACGCUCAACGUGGAGGGGCCGUUCGAUACUGUCGUGACUCGAGUCCGGUAGGGGAGUGUGGAAUUCCCGGUGUAGCGGUGAAAUGCGCAGAGAUCGGGAGGAACACCCGUAGCGAAGGCGGCACUCUGGGCCGGUACUGACGCUGAGGAGCGAAAGCGUGGGGAGCAAACAGG
rnacentral:rRNA from 1 species